rnacentral:rRNA from 1 species
AAUCAACGCUGGCGGCGUGCCUCAGACAUGCAAGUCGAACGAUUAAAGCUCUCUUCGGAGAGUGCAUAGAGUGGCGCACGGGUGAGUAACACGUAAGUAAUCUACCUUCGAGUGGGGAAUAACGUCCGGAAACGGACGCUAAUACCGCAUAAUGCAGCGGCAUCGCAAGAUGACAGUUGUUAAAGAUUUAUCGCUUGAAGAGGAGCUUGCGGCAGAUUAGCUAGUUGGUAAGGUAAUGGCUUACCAAGGCUACGAUCUGUAACCGGUCUAAGAGGACGGUCGGUCACACUGACACUGAAUAACGGGUCAGACUCCUACGGGAGGCAGCAGUCGGGAAUUUUGGGCAAUGGGGGAAACCCUGACCCAGCAACGCCGCGUGAAGGGAUGAAGUAUUUCGGGUAUGUAAACUUCGAAAGAAUAGGAAGAAUAAAAUGACGGUACUAUUUAUAAGGUCCGGCUAACUACGUGCCAGCAGCCG